GAUGAACGCUGGCGGCGUGCCUAAUACAUGCAAGUCGAGCGAACAGACGAGGAGCUUGCUCCUCUGACGUUAGCGGCGGACGGGUGAGUAACACGUGGAUAACCUACCUAUAAGACUGGGAUAACUUCGGGAAACCGGAGCUAAUACCGGAUAAUAUAUUGAACCGCAUGGUUCAAUAGUGAAAGACGGUUUUGCUGCCACUUAUAGAUGGAUCCGCGCCGCAUUAGCUAGUUGGUAAGGUAAAGGCUUACCAAGGCAACGAUGCGUAGCCGACCUGAGAGGGUGAUCGGCCACACUGGAACUGAGACACGGUCCAGACUCCUACGGGAGGCAGCAGUAGGGAAUCUUCCGCAAUGUGCGAAAGCCUGACGGAGCAACGCCGCGUGAGUGAUGAAGGUCUUCGGAUCGUAAAACUCUGUUAUUAGGGAAGAACAAAUGUGUAAGUAACUAUGCACGUCUUGACGGUACCUAAUCAGAAAGCCACGGCUAACUACGUGCCAGCAGCCGCGGUAAUA
rnacentral:rRNA from 1 species